AACAGGAUUAGAUACCCUGGUAGUCCACGCCGUAAACGAUGUCGACUUGGAGGCUGUUCCCUUGAGGAGUGGCUUCCGGAGCUAACGCGUUAAGUCGACCGCCUGGGGAGUACGGCCGCAAGGUUAAAACUCAAAUGAAUUGACGGGGGCCCGCACAAGCGGUGGAGCAUGUGGUUUAAUUCGAUGCAACGCGAAGAACCUUACCUACUCUUGACAUCCAGAGAAUUUAGCAGAGAUGCCUUAGUGCCUUCGGGAACCGUGAGACAGGUGCUGCAUGGCUGUCGUCAGCUCGUGUUGUGAAAUGUUGGGUUAAGUCCCGCAACGAGCGCAACCCUUAUCCUUUGUUGCCAGCGAUUCGGUCGGGAACUCAAAGGAGACUGCCGGUGAUAAACCGGAGGAAGGUGGGGGUGACGUCAAGUCAUCAUGGCCCUUACGAGUAGGGCUACACACGUGCUACAAUGGCGCAUACAAAGAGAAGCGACCUCGCGAGAGCAAGCGGACCUCACAAAGUGCGUCGUAGUCCGGAUCGGAGUCUGCAACUCGACUCCGUGAAGUCGGAAUCGCUAGUAAUCGUGGAUCAGAAUGCCACGGUGAAUACGUUCCCGGGCCUUGUACACACCGCCCGUCACACCAUGGGAGUGGGUUGCAAAAGAAGUAGGUAGCUUAACCUUCGGGAGGGCGCUUACCACUUUGUGAUUCAUGACUGGGGUGAAGUCGUAACAAGGUAACC
rnacentral:rRNA from 1 species